rnacentral:hammerhead_ribozyme from 1 species
AGCUAGUUGACGAGUCCCAAAUAGGACGAAAUGCAAAUUUUCCUGGAU